rnacentral:lncRNA from 1 species
AUGCCAGGAGGGAGGCUGCUGUGGACCAGGGAGGGAGACUGGGAGGAAGGGAGGCGUUGCCCCGCCGAAAUAAGCAAAAGGAAGCCUCCAAACUGUAAAUCCACAAAAGGGAAUUCGGGGAAAGCGGCGUCCGAAACCCUGGCUGAAGUUGGGCGGCGAAGAAGAGUGCAAAGGAGGCGCCCCAGCAGCCUCGCCAAGACCGGGGGGGGGGGGGGUCCUUAUCCCACCCGAGGUCCACGAAGCGGGGGUGGGAUAAGAAUGCGGCUCCUUCCCGCUCGGCCCGGGCUCUCUCUCGGUCAGGCGAAAGGCUCUCCGCGCCCUCGUCGCCCCCAGAACGAAGGAGUCCUCUCAGGCAGCGCGCGGGAGUGGAGACCCGCCGGCGAAGGAGGAGGAAGAGGGGGAGGCGGCGGCAGCCCGGGUCCCAUCACCGGAGGCGGCGCGGAGCCGCUUCCCAUCCCCGGCCGCCGGCAUCGCCUUCCUUGCCGGCCUGCGUCCCUCCCUCUCUCCCCAAACCGGAACGGACACAAAAGCCACGGAGCCUCCCUGUGCCUCUCGGUGCGUCUCUGUGAAGGAGGAGGGAGUGUGCGGGCAAAACUUCCAGCCGCCUCCUCCUCCUCCUCCUCUUUCUCCUCCGCAAGGCAGGCAGCCCCUGGUGGACGAAGAGCGCCACUGCCCUUCGCUCGCCGCCUGGGGAGACUGGAGGGGAAGCGCCGGGCGCUGAAGUUGGCGGGCCACGCGGAGGUUGAGUGUCUUCUUCUUCUCCUUCUUCCCCUCCUCCACCUCCUCCCUCUUCGCCUCUUCCUUCUUUUCCUUCUUUCUUCUUCCUUCUUCCUCUUCUUGCCCCCUCCAAGAGACGCCUCCGAGAAGCCCACUCUUCCCCUCUGCACAUUUCACAAAGCAGUCCCAGAGUUGCAAACAUCCGACUGACAAAUGAUUCUGGGUUAAGAACAGGGCUGAGACCAUAGGAAGUGAGAGAAAUCUACCCCUCUGGAAAGGGAAUCCACUCCUGGAAGACUUAUCAGUGGGGAAAGGUAUCUUCACUGAAGAUUUAUUUGUUUUGUUACUAUAUUUAUACUGAGCUCUGUGAGUGCAGCAUUCUUUCAAAAUGAAGCAGAGAGUGUUUGAGAAGGUCCUGUCUCUCCUCCCCACUAGUUACACUUGCGAAGGGGAUGAAACCAAAAGCAGGCUCUCCCCAGCAGAUCUUAAAACUAUAGUGGGCUCAUAAAGGGAGAUACCUUCAGACAUAUAAGUUGGGCCAGAACCGUUUAGGGUUCUCAACUUGUGGGUCCCCAGAUGUUUUGGCCUUCAACUCCCAGAAAUCCUUACAGAAAUCCAGGUCAGACCACACCUGGAAUACUGUGUCCAAUUUUGGGCACCACAGUUGAAGGGAGAUGUUGACAAGCUGGAGAGCGUCCAGAGGAGGGCAACUAAAAUGAUCAAAGGUCUGGAGAACAAGCCCUAUUGGGAGAGGCUUAAAGAACUGGGCAUGUUUAGCCUGCAGAAGAGAAGGCUGAGAGGAGACAUGAUAGCCAUGUACAAAUAUGUGAGGGGAAGCCAUAGGGAGGAGGGAGCAAGCUUGUUUUCUGCUGCCCUGCAGACUAGGACACGGAACAAUGGCUUCAAACUACAGGAAAGGAGAUUCCACCUGAACAUCAGGAAGAACUUCCUCACUGUGAGGGCUGUUCGGCAGUGGAACUCUCUCCCCCAGACUGUGGUGGAGGCUCCUUCUUUGGAGGCUUUUAAACAGAGGCUGGAUGGCCAUCUGUCGGGGGUGCUUUGAAUGCGAUUUCCUGCUUCUUGGCAGGGGGUUGGACUAGAUGGCCCAUGAGGUCUCUUCCAACUCUACUAUUCUAUGAUUCUAUGAUUCUAUGAGCUGGUAAACUGGCUGGGAUUUCUUGGAGUUGUAGGCAAAAACACCUGGGGACCCACAGGUUGAGAACCACUGGUUUAGGACUGUAUACACCAAAGCCAGCACUUUGAAUUGGGCCCGGUAGCAAACUGGCAGCCAGUGGAGCUGACAUAACAGGGAGGUUGUAUGGUCCCUGUAUGCCGUUCCAGUAAAAAAAUCUGGCUGCUGCCCGUUGGACUACUUGGAGCUUCCGGACAGUUUUCAGAGGCACCAAUUUGUUUCCACAACAAGCCAAGUUUUCCAAAAUCUAAUUCCCACAGGGACACGAAGUUAAGCAAAGGGACAGAAAGUAAAGUGAAAUCUGAAUGGGCACAGAUGACAAAACAAACACCUUCCCAAUGCUGUUCAAAGCUUGCUUGGACAUUUUUAAAAAUGUACCCUUUCUGACUUACAUACAAAUUCAAUUUGUGAACAAACUUACAGAACCUAUCUUGUUUGUAACUUGGGGACUGCCUGUAUUGGACUCCAGCACCACCUUUAUAGAAAGCCACCCUGUGCAACUGAAUAACAAAAUGACGUUAUCACACCAGGGCUUUCAAGUGGGCAGCCCCACAUUUCUGCCGCUUCCAAUUCUGGGAAAUGUGGUUCAGGGCAGAGCCUUUUGAAUUCUAAGCUACAAAGGUCCUCACCUUUGCAUACUACAUUUCCCAGAAUUCGGCAGGCAGCAGAAAUGCAGGGCUGCCUGCUUUAAAGCCUUGGUGUGCUAACAUGAAAAGAAGAUGGGAGCAAAGUAAAUGGGAUAUCAAGGGUGGUAGCCAGGGGAGAACCUUCUAAAAAACAGAGCCCUUCCUCGGUGGUGAAAAUGGAACUUCCUACCAGAGAACUUUAAAAAAAAACCUACAAAAGUACUGAAAAGACUAAUUUUGAGGAGGGGAAGUAAAAAAUAGGAUGUUUUCUACAGGCAGGAAAGUUUAAAGAGUCAACCAAAAGGAAGGGAACAGUGCAACCACAAAUAAGCCUCUCUUGUAUAAACUCCAGAGCACAGCUUACAGAAAUUACCUUUAAAAACCAUAUAAUUAUAAUGACAUUCAUAGCUGAGCAGCAAUAAAGACAAUUUUUAGUUCCAACCAAGCAAUGAGAUAUCCACAGAGUUGCCAUCCAAAAGUGUAAUAAAGCAACCACAAACAAGCAUAGCUUACAUAAACUCCAGAUCACAGCUCUGAGGAAUUAAAUAACAAUAUAAUUAUAAUCACAUUCAUAACUGAGUAG